rnacentral:rRNA from 1 species
GUGCCAGCCGCCGCGGUAAUACGGAGGGUGCAAGCGUUAUCCGGAUUUAUUGGGUUUAAAGGGUGCGCAGGCGGUAUAUUAAGUCAGUGGUGAAAUCCUGCAGCUUAACUGUAGAUGUGCCAUUGAAACUGAUGUACUUGAGUUAUCUUGAGGUAGGCGGAAUGUGUAGUGUAGCGGUGAAAUGCUUAGAUAUUACACAGAACACCGAUUGCGAAGGCAGCUUACCAAGGGUCAACUGACGCUCAGGCACGAAAGCGUGGGGAUCGAACAGGAUUAGAAACCCUAGUAGUCC